rnacentral:lncRNA from 1 species
GAUUCUUCAUUUACUAUGUAAUAACAACGACAACAAAACCAUAAUGUUAUUUUUAGAGUGCCUUUUAGUUCUCAAAAUGUUUACACCUACUUAAAGUUAAAACAAAACAAUGGGCUUUAAUUGGCUGAACAGGAAAUGCCUGGGCCCUUCCAGGCAAAGAGGAAUUUAACCAUGAUGAACGGGAAGUGUCUAGGCAGCCAUGUUUCUCACCCGUGUGUGUUGUUUUUAGUCAAUCCCAGUCAUUAAGAUUGACUAGAAGGAACAGACUAUAACUCUCUUGGUCAUCACCCUACGCAGAAAACAAAGCUUUCAGAAUCAGGACACAAAGGACUCAAAGUGGAGAGCAGAAGUGCAGCACGGAGGAAACGCAGAGAAGCCAUUUCUAGGGGGCUGGCCCCGUGGCCGAGUGGUUAAGUUCGCGCACUCCGCUGCAGGCGGCCCAGUGUUUCAAUGGUUCGAAUCCUGGGCGCGGACAUGGCACUGCUCAUCAAACCACGCUGAGGCGGCAUCCCACAUGCCACAAGUAGAAGGACCCACAACGAAG